AAUAAUAAGGUUCCAAACGAGUGGUUGGCAGAGGCACCGUGGGCAUUGCUGUGGGCACAGCCACGGUGUGAGAGCAGUGUUGUACUGUAGGCUCCAGCUUUUGGGGGUAGCAGCGGCCCCUUAGCCAGCCACAGCAGCUGGAAGUGGAUCUGUUGUUGCCAACUGAGCCUUUGGUUUGAAGCAAGUCUGAGGGGUGUUGAGCUGUAAGUACCAGUUUCCCUGUGAUUCCAGCUGACCACAAACC